rnacentral:lncRNA from 1 species
GGAAAGGAGGCCAAGGGGAAGAAAGUGGCACCCACCCCUGCUGUCAUGAAGAAGCAGGAGGCCAAGAAGGUGGGAAGUCCCUGUUUGAGAAAAGGCCUAAGAAUUUUGGCACUGGACAGGAUAUCCCGCACGAAAGGGACCUCACCUGCUUUGUCAAAUGGCCCCGCUACAUGCAGUUGCGGCGGCAAAGGGCUAUCCUCCAUGAGCGGCCGAAAGUUCCUCCUGCCAUUAACCAGCUCACUCAGGCCUUGGACUGCCAGUUACUCAACUGCUUAAGCUGGCCCACAAGUGCAAUCCAGAGACAAAGCAAGGGAAGAAGCAGAGACUGUUGGCCUGGGCUGAGAAGAGAGCUGACAGCAAAGGGGCUCUCCCCAUUAAGAGACCACCUGUCCUUCAAGCAAUUUCAAUACUAUCACCACCGUGGUAGAGAACAAGAAGUCUCAACUGGUGGUGACUGAACACGAUGAGGAUCCCAUCAAGCUGGUUGUCUUUCUGCCUGCCCUGUGUUGUAAAAUAUGGGUCCCUUACUGCCUUAUCAAGGGGAAGGCAAGACUGGGACGUCUAGUCCACAGGAAGACCUGCACCACUGUCGCCUUCACACAGUUUAACUGGGAAGACAGAGGAGUUUUGAUGAAGCUGAUGGAAGCUAUCAGGACCAAUGACAAUGACAGAUAUGAUGAGAUCUGCCACCACUGGGAAAGCAAUGUCCUGGGUCCUAAAUCUGUGGCUUACAUUGCCAAGCAGGAAAAGGCAAAAGCUGAAACACUUGCUACUAAACUUGGU